rnacentral:tRNA from 1 species
GCGCCCGUAGCUCAAAGGAUAGAGUACCGCCCUGCGAAGGCGGUGAUAUAGGUUCGAUUCCUGUCGGGCGCACCA